rnacentral:rRNA from 1 species
CGGCCGCAAGGUUAAAACUCAAAUGAAUUGACGGGGGCCCGCACAAGCGGUGGAGCAUGUGGUUUAAUUCGAUGCAACGCGAAGAACCUUACCUACUCUUGACAUCCAGAGAAUUUAGCAGAGAUGCUUUGGUGCCUUCGGGAACUCUGAGACAGGUGCUGCAUGGCUGUCGUCAGCUCGUGUUGUGAAAUGUUGGGUUAAGUCCCGCAACGAGCGCAACCCUUAUCCUUUGUUGCCAGCGAUUCGGUCGGGAACUCAAAGGAGACUGCCGGUGAUAAACCGGAGGAAGGUGGGGAUGACGUCAAGUCAUCAUGGCCCUUACGAGUAGGGCUACACACGUGCUACAAUGGCGUAUACAAAGAGAAGCGACCUCGCGAGAGCAAGCGGAACUCAUAAAGUACGUCGUAGUCCGGAUUGGAGUCUGCAACUCGACUCCAUGAAGUCGGAAUCGCUAGUAAUCGUAGAUCAGAAUGCUACGGUGAAUACGUUCCCGGGCCUUGUACACACCGCCCGUCACACCAUGGGAGUGGGUUGCAAAAGAAGUAG